UACAUGGGGUGCAAACGUUGCUCGGAAUUAUUGGGCGUAAAGCGCACGUAGGCGGUUUGUUAAGUCGGAUGUGAAAUCCCUCGGCUCAACUGAGGAAGUGCAUCCGAAACUGGCAAGCUUGAGUACGAAAGAGGGUCGCGGAAUUCCCGGUGUAGAGGUGAAAUUCGUAGAUAUUGGGAGGAACACCGGUGGCGAAGGCGGCGACCUGGGUCGAUACUGACGCUGAGGUGCGAAAGCGUGGGGAGCAAACAGG
rnacentral:rRNA from 1 species